AAAGAUCUCAAAACGUUUUAUUAUUUCUACACUAAUACAGUGAUGUAGCUCUGCAUUAAGAUAAUCGGUGCGUUUACAUGGACAACAAUAACCAGUAUUAACCCGAUUAAGACGAUACUCUGAUUAAGAAACUAGCCUGUAAACAGCGAUUCUUAAUAACCUUAAUCCGAUUAAGGUCAUACUCGGAGUAAACACAAAUUGAAUUAAGACGUGUGGAGUAUUCCUGUUUUAUUCGCGUCAUCGACGUGUAUUAUAGACAUGUACACACCUUAAUCACAUUAUUAACGUCGCGUGAGAGUUUUCACUGCAUUUUGCGACAGGACACGUACACACACGGCAACGCUCAACCGUUUGACGGCAAACAAGAGAGCACGGCUGCGUCCCAAACCGCGUACUUGCCUACUAUAGGCCUGCAGUAGGAGAAAUACAUAUAUCUCGGCUACUAUAUAGACGGUAAGUACGCGGUUUGGGACGCAGCCCACGGUUUUAAGCGGUCGUCUGUUUGCACGUACGGCACGACAAAUAAUUAACCGCACUGGAAGCGUCCGUAAAAAUUUUAAAUAAAAACACCCAAAACUGUACACGGUCCCAUAACGAAGACGGACUGUAUAUCGAUACGUGAAAUUCUGGAGGGACGUCGGACGGCGUGGCGCGGGGACGUAAUGACGUGCGCCGUUAAUCCAUCCAUGUUCUAUAACAUGUAAAACUGGAACAUGAGAGGAGUAUUCUAAAAGCCACUCAUGUAAACACCUUAAUCACAAUAUUGUCUUACUCUGAGUAAGAUAAUAUUGUGAUUAAGGUGUUUACAUGAGUCGCUUUUAGAAUACUCCUGUCAUGUUCCCGUUUUACAUGUUUUAGAACAUAAUUCGAUUAACAGCCCGCGUCGUUACGUCACCGCGCCACGACGUCCCUCCAGAAUUUCACGUAUCAACGUACAGUUCGCCUUCGUUAUGGGACCGUAUACGGUUUUGCGUGUUUUUAUUUAUUUAUUUAUUUUACGAACGCUUUAAGUGCAGUUAAUUAUUUGUAAUGCUAUACGUG
ensembl:lncRNA